rnacentral:lncRNA from 1 species
UCAAGCAUUCAUUUCCUUUUCCCCUUCUCGUGAGUACGCACCCCCAUGGGAGACGAAAAUAAUUGACGAGAGAUCGUCACGCGGAGAAGUGUGAAUAAGGUUUCAGCGAGAGAGAGAGAGAGAGAGUACGCGGUAUUCAGUCGUCACGCGGAGAAGUGUGAAUAAGUGCGAAUAAGUUUUCAGUGAGAGAGAGAGAGUACGCGGUGUUCAGUCGUCAUGCGGAGAAGUGUGGAUAAGGUUUCAGUUUACAUGUGAAAAAGGAAAAAAGAAAGAAAGAGCAUCGACUUAGAUUGACAAUUUGCGAAGCCAUAUCUCCUCCUUCUCGUUCUAUCAUCAUAGCGGCAACGGAACGAUCUUCGUGUUGUCUGCAGCUUCACCAGCCACGUUGAGGCGACUGAAUCGAAGCUCCUUAGCUGAUCUCUACUUGGAUUCACUGAGGUGAAUGAUCAUACUUCCUCUCAUCUUCUGUACAUUUGAUUCCUCCGAUUUCACCCAGCUCUAAUUGGCCUAAUCUGCAUCCGUGUUGUGUUCGUACUCUCUCUCCAACUAUAUAUGUCAUUCUCUGGCUAAUCUAUCUUGUCGUAGUUGAUCCGUGGUUCUUGGAUGCUGCGAUGGGAUUCUAUGGUUGGUCCGCAACCCCAGUGCUCGUUUGCUACUUAAGAUCUAGUCCUUUAAAUUGUUGGAACUGGGAGUUCGUCUUCUUUAGGUUGAGAGGGGUGAGAAGGAAUCUGCAAUGAGCUUCGUUGCUCCUCUGCUCAUUUUUCUUGUCCUUUAUCCCUUGAUUUGCACUGGAUAAUCAUGAUGAACAUUUUUUAACUUGUAUUUAUGGUGAUUUCAGAAUGACCCUUCCUUUCUAUUCCAGAUUGGUUUUCUCUUCUUUACUGGAUGCGUAAUAUGCAUAUUAUUUAUAUCGGACUGGUUACAUUCCUGCUCUCUCAUCUGGAUACAAGAUUUUGUGCUUACGUUGAUCUGUUCCUGUUUUUUUAUCCAAAGUUGAAUAUAUUGCUAGUGACUGGAAUGAUUUUCACCUUAUAUCUUGAAAGAAGUAGGUAAUGAAUGGUCAUGGUCAGAUCAUUUUCAUCCUUUGUUAAACACUUUUGAAUCCUCCACUUCAGAUGAACAUGUUCUGUUUUGAAAAUAUUUCACUGGGCUUAAAAUGAUUUUAUAGCUAUAAGCCCCACAUCUGAUGAGAAGAACAUGCUAUAUAUUGAUUUUUUUUUUUUGUAAAGUUGUUAAUUACCUAAUGUAUUCAUAAUAGAUUAUAUCCGGACAGUCUACUGUACUGCAAAAGAAUGUAAUGUAAUUGGCCUUCUGCUAGGUAUGAGGACCUACUUCUUAUUCAAAAUGCAUCAUGUGGAAUGCAGCCAAAUGUUGAGCAGUAUCAUAGUAUUGUUUGGAUACCUUCCUCAUACCGGAAAAUUUACUGUUGAUAUGCGGGGGUAAAGUUCGAUCAUCACUUGUUAAAGUGCCUAGGUAUAAGCUGGUCUGGUUCACUUCAAACGUUUGAAAACACAGUUUAUUAUUUUGAAUAUGCUGCCAACUCGAGACAGAUUGAAGAAAUGGAAUCCUUCUUUGAAUGAUGUUUGCCUUCUCUAGACUUCUUGUGUCAAUGUGAGUGAAGGCUAACUCAAGGUUGUAAUUUGUAAGGCCACACGAGUUGGAAACGCUGGAACAUCAAGCCUAUAACUGUAGAAUAGCCGCAAGAGUAUUUUUGCAUGUGAGAUAAGCAUCUCUAUGCGAAAGACAAUUGACCUAAUCAUUAACCGGGAAUUGAGAACUCUACAUAGAUUUGAUUGACCCUCAUUAUUUCCCAUGAAAAUUUCCGCAUGGAUCUGUCAAAGCAAAAACACAGAAAAAGUUAUUUGUGAACCGCAACUUAAACUUGAGCAUUCUUUUCAAUUUCCUUCCCGUAGAUUUUAGACAGAUCUAACUUUCGCUACUACAGGGUCUAAAAAUUGGCCAUCAAAGAGAAUCUGUUUGUGAACAGGCUAAUUUCCAUUAGCGAGUCACUUGAUUCAUAUAGGAUGAAAAAAAAUAACACCUAUUUGAGGGAAUAGUAUUAUGGUCCUUUUGCUCAAAUCAAGACAUUUUCCCAUGUCCAGGAGAGCCCUGCCUCAACUACAACACGAGGCACUUCGUGAAGGGGGAAAGGCCAAAAGAUUUUUCCUUAUACCAGCUAAAACAAUUUGAGGUUAAGGUUUCUGAGCAGAUUUGGCGUGGUCCUCAAAGCUUUCUGAAUUCUCCACGAUCGAUUUCCAUAGGGGAUGCGUUGCUUCUUUUCUUGCUUCCGCGUGUAGGAGGACGACGAUCGCUUAGCUCCCUCGCUCCAUUCCCUACCAGAAACCCCCGUAAGCUCUACGUGCAUUCUGUAGUCAAUGUUCUGUUUUGAAGUGGAUGAGUGGAAGUGGGGACUCCACCUCCUCCUCUACAUGUUUAGUUUUCUCAAAAUAAGUUGGGCGAUUCAAGUUGCUCCUCAUUUUACAUUUUUUUGAUGUUUUUUGGUUCUUUUUAAUUAGAAGCUGGAUGAAACUAGCUCUAUCGUUAGACGAUUUAACAUAUUUUUCCCGUGAGG